rnacentral:ncRNA from 1 species
AGAAAAUUUGAUUCUAGUUUUUAAGUUUAGUUUAUAUUUUUAUUAUAUGUAAAUUUUUGUGUAAUUAUUUAUUUUUAAAUAGGAUAAAAUAUAUUAAUUAAGUUAAUAGUAUUAAGCAAUAAUUAGAUUUAUAUAAUAAAAGAGAUUUUGAUAUAGGAAUAUAUAAUAGCAUUGGUAAAAUUUGUGCCAGCAAUCGCGGUUAAACAGGUGAUGCAAUUAAAUUAUUAUCUGAUAAUAAUAAGUAAGAAUUAAGAAUUAAUUUAAAAUUAAGUUUAUUAGGUGAAAUUUGAAAUUUAUAUAAAAUUAGUUUUUUUAAGUUAUGAAGUUAUGAAAUUUUAAUAUUAAACUAGGAUUAGAUACCCUAUUAUAAAAAAUAUAAAUUAUUAAUAUCAGGGGAGUAUUAGUUAUGAUCUUGAAAUUUAAAGAAUUUGGCGGUAUUUUAGUCUUUUCAGAGGAACCUGUCCUAUAAUUGAUAUUCCACGAUUAAUUUUACUUAAUUUACAAGUUUAUAUAUCGUCGUAGUUUGAAUAUCUUAUAAGAGUUAGAAUAUUCAAAAUUUAUAAUAAAUAAAGGAAAUCAGAUCAAGGUGUAGCUUAUAAUUAAGGAGAGAUGGGUUACAAUAAAUUUAUUUAAUAUGGUUAUAGUAAUUAAAAUUAUUAUAUAAAGUGGAUUUGAAAGUAAUAUAUUUUAGUUAAAAUAUAUGAUUUAAGCUCUAAGAUAUGUACAUAUCGCCCGUCGCUUUCAUUGAAAUGUAAGGUGAAAUAAGUCGUAACAUAGUAGGUGUACCGGAAGGUGUACCUGGGUUGAU